GUCUGAAUUGGCGGCACCUGACUAGAUUACUAAGUUAAUGGAAACUCCAAUGCGUCCCACUUGUCCCUCCUCUUCCUUCUGCUUCUUCUAAUCCUUUCUCUCUCUCUCUCUCUCCAUUUCUGUGUCGUAUUGACACAUUCAAAUCUCAUCCUUCCAAUAAAAAAAACCUAAAUUCCAAUUCCACCGUUAGCCCUCUCUCGCUCUGUCUAUCUCUUACUCUCUCAUACAUUGAUGCUCUUCUUAUCUCUCUCCGUUUCAAUAUCCAUCUUCGUCUCCCUACCCUAAUUUUUUUUUUUUCCCUUCUUUUUCAAUGGCUUCUCUAGCCCACGAAAACCUCGACCAUGACGAUGAUCACGAACACUAUCGCAACCAUCACCACCACCACCACCACGCCAACAAUCUCAACGGUGAUUCCAGAACCCAUUUACCCAAAAAGCCCAGGCUUUCUUUCUUCACCGAAUCCGAAAUCGCCACCGAGUUCGCUCACCACGACUCCGACGUUGCUCGGAUCAACAACGGUAGUUUCGGUUGCUGUCCCGCUUCCGUUCUCGAAGCCCAGAAGGUUUGGCAGCACAAGUUUCUCGCUCAGCCUGAUGAUUUCUACUUCAACGAGCUCAAGAAGGGGAUUCAUCGUUCCAGGUCCAUAAUCAAGGAAAUCAUCAAUGCCGAACACGUCGACGAGGUCUCUCUUGUCGACAACGCCACCACCGCCGCCGCCGUUGUCCUCCAGCAGACCUCCUGGGCUUUCUCCGAAGGCAGAUUCGACAAAGGCGAUGCCAUCGUUAUGCUUCAUUACGCUUAUGGUGCCGUCAAGAAGUCCAUCGAGGCGUAUGUUACACGUGCCGGCGGGUAUGUAAUCGAGGUCCCUCUGCCUUUUCCGGUGAGUUCCAACGAUGAGAUUGUGACUGAAUUUAGGAAGGCUUUGGAGAAAGGAAAAGCUAAUGGUAGGAGGGUUAGGCUUGCUGUGAUUGACCAUGUGACAUCCAUGCCUUGUGUCGUAAUACCCAUCAAGGAAUUGGUUAAGAUUUGCAGGGAAGAAGGCGUUGACCAGGUUUUUGUUGAUGCUGCUCAUGGAAUUGGCUGCACUGCUGUUGAUAUGAAAGAGAUUGGAGCUGAUUUCUAUGCUAGUAAUUUGCACAAAUGGUUCUUUUGCCCACCUUCCGUGGCGUUUUUGUAUUGUAGGAAGUCACCCAAGUUGUCUGAAUUGCACCACCCUGUAGUGUCUCAUGAGUAUGGUAAUGGGUUGGCAAUAGAGAGUGCCUGGAUUGGGACAAGGGAUUAUAGUCCUCAGCUUGUUGUCCCUUCGGUUUUGGAUUUCGUAAAUAAGUUCGAAGGUGGUUUGGAGGGAAUUAAGAAGAGGAACCAUGAUGCUGUCGUUGAGAUGGGUGAGAUGUUAGCAAAAGAGUGGGGGACUCAUCUUGGGUGCCCUCCUGAUAUGUGUGCAAGCAUGAUCAUGAUUGGAUUGCCUGCUUGUUUGGGAAUUUUGACUGAGAAAGAUACUUUGAAGUUGAGGUCUCAUUUGAGAGAGAAAUUUGGUGUUGAAGUUCCAAUAUAUUUCCGAGCCCCUAGAAAUAGUGAGGAUGUAACAAUAACCGGGUAUGCUCGCAUUUCGUAUCAAGUCUAUAACAAAGUUGAUGACUAUAACAAGUUUAAAGAUGCUAUUAACAAACUCGUUAGUGAUGGAUUCACCUGUUCCCUUCUCACUACAUGAUAAGGUUCACACUACGUAUUACGUAAUAUGAGGCUCUUGUUAGCCACCAAAUAUGGAGGAAGCCGAACAAUGGUUUCCAAAUUCUCUAAUGUUGCAAGGUUCUUGGUUCUUGCAAAUAGUUGAGUGAGGCACUGAAGAAGUCUAUCUGAAUAAGGCCUAUGGUUCUCUGCAACUCUCGCAUGCUUGGCUGGUAGCUAUGGUUUCGAUACCAUUACUGCCCAGAAUAGUAGAGAAACAAACCUUAAAGGUGCAUGUAGGGGAGCAGAAAGAGAGUUUCAUCUUCACCGUUUUUUAUGAUUGUUAUUUAUGAAGAUGAGGAACUAUCAAUUGAGCCUUAGGUGUCUUGUAAAUGUUUCUUGACUGUUUGUAAUUUGCAUGCUGUUAAAGCCGGCAAUUGAGAUAUACUUCUUCAGCUUCAGGCUAACAAAAUGAAGUCUCUUUAGGCUAACUUCUGGA